rnacentral:rRNA from 1 species
UGGGGAAUAUUGCACAAUGGAGGGAACUCUGAUGCAGCGACGCCGCGUGAGUGAUGAAGGAAUUCGUUUCGUAAAACUCUGUUCUAUGGGAAGAAAAGGACUGUACCAUAGGAGAAAGCUCCGGCUAAAUACGUGCCAGCAGCCGCGGUAAUACGUAUGGAGCGAGCGUUGUCCGGAAUUAUUGGGCGUAAAGGGUGCGCAGGCGGCUUUACAAGUUGGAUGUGAAAUAUUGUGGCUCAACCACAAACGUGCAUCCAAAACUGCAAAGCUUGAGUUAAGGAGAGGUAAGUGGAAUUCCUGGUGUAGCGGUGGAAUGCGUAGAUAUCAGGAGGAAUACCGGUGGCGAAGGCGACUUACUGGCCUUAAACUGACGCUCAGGCACGAAAGCGUGGGGAGCAAACAGG